rnacentral:rRNA from 1 species
AGUGAACGCUGGCGGUAGGCCUAACACAUGCAAGUCGAACGGCAGCACAGGAAGAGCACGCUCUUACGGGAGGCGAGUGGCGGACGGGUGAGGAAUACAUCGGAAUCUACGUAUUCGGGGGGGAUAACGUAGGGAAACUUACGAAAAUACCGCAAACGACCUACGGGAGAAAGCAGGGGAUCGUCGGAGCUUGAGCGACUCAAGGAGCCGAUGUCGGAUUAGCUAGUUGGCGGGGUAAAGGCCCACCAAGGCGACGAUCCGUAGCUGGUCUGAGAGGAUGAUCCGCCACCCUGUCACUGAGGCACGGUCCAGACUCCUACGCGAGGCCGCAGUCGGGACUAUUGCACGAUGGGCGCAAGCCUGAUCCAGCCAUACCGCGUGGGUGAAGAAGGCCUUCGGGUUGUAAAGCCCUUUUGUUUGUAAAUAAGAGCAGCACGUUAAUCCCCCGCUGUUCUGACGGUACCCAAAUAAUAAGCCCCGGCUAACUUCGUG